rnacentral:rRNA from 1 species
AUGGAGAAGGUGAAUAACCUGCUGCAGGGCCUAAAGCUGUCGGAGGCAGAGAAGAAAGGAGUGAAGAUCGGUGGGAGGGGAUCUGGGAAGAUUGGAAUGGAACAAAGAGCCAUGGCCAAAUUGUUCUCUGAGAAGCCGGGACAUGCGGAUGCACUGGCCCAGGCGCUAGGAAAGGCAUGGAGUCCGAUGAGAGGGGUAAGUUGCAAGGAUUUGAGAGGGAACAUCUUCCUGUUUACUUUUAAACAGGAAUCAGAGAAAAGAAAGGCAUUGGAAGGGGGCCCCUGGACGUUUGAUAAAGAUUUGCUGCUACUAGAAGAGUUUGAUCCGUCAAAAAGGAUUGAGGACUAUGAAUUUCGGCAUGUGCAAAUGUGGGUACAGGUGUUUAAUCUGCCUCUUGGGGACAUGCAUAGGGACAAUGGAGAGGUGAUUGGCAACCUGAUAGGAGAAACAAUGGAAGUGGAUGUGGGGGAAGAUGAUAUGGCCAUCGGAAUUUUCAUGAGAAUUAAGGUGAAGAUGCUUGUUGCUGAACCGUUAAUGAGAGGAAGUUGGCUCACUGUCACAAAAGAGGUAGAAGGAAAAUAA